UAUUGAUAUGCUUGUCUCAAAGAUUAAGCCAUGCAUGUAUAAGUUCACACCUUCAUACGGUGAAACCGCAAAUGGCUCAUUAAAUCAGCCAUUAUUUCUUAGAUCUUACAUACAUUACUUGGAUAACUGUAGUAAUUCUAGAGCUAAUAGAAUACACAGAAGACCUAAACCGAUCUCUCGGGAUUGUGAGUUUAGGUGUGUUUAUUAGACAAAACCAACCAGCUUCGGCUGUUUGUUUGAUGGAUCUGGAUAACUUCUCUGAUCGCAUGCUCUCGUAGCGGCGACGUAUCUUUCAAGUGUCUGCCCUAUCAAGUUGUUGGUGGGUGCUAUGCCUACCAAGCUGGCAACGGGUAACGGGGAAUCAGGGUUCGAUUCCGGAGAGAGAGCCUUAGAAACGGCUACCACAUCUAAGGAAGGCAGCAGGCGCGCAAAUUACCCACUUGCAGUGCAGCAGGCAGAGGUAGUGACGAAAAAUAACAAUGCAGGACUUUUAUAGGAUCUGCAAUUGGAAUGAGUACAGUUUAAAUCCUUUAACGAGGAUCAAUUGGAGGGCAAGUCUGGUGCCAGCAGCCGCGGUAAUUCCAGCUCCAAUAGCGUAUAAUUAAAUUGCUGCAGUUAAAAAGCUCGUAGUUGGAUCUCAGGUAGGGAUCUCUGGUAGUUUCAUAUGAAAUUCACUAGAUGCAUCUCACCUAUUACAAAUUGCCGUUGUUAGUUACUAGAAUUGCUCUUAAUUGGGUGUUCUAGUGCACGUUGAGUUUACUUUGAAAAAAAUAGAGUGCUUAAAGCAGACUCUUUUUAGUCUGAAUAUUGUU
rnacentral:rRNA from 1 species